rnacentral:rRNA from 1 species
UACGUAGGGAGCAAGCGUUGUCCGGAUUUAUUGGGCGUAAAGAGCGUGUAGGCGGCCAGAUAAGUCCGCUGUGAAAUCUCGAGGCUCAACUUCGAGCUGUCGGUGGAAACUGUCUGGCUAGAGUCCGGAAGAGGAGAAUGGAAUUCCUGGUGUAGCGGUGAAAUGCGCAGAUAUCAGGAAGAACACCCGUGGCGAAGGCGGUUCUCUGGGACGGUACUGACGCUUAGACGCGAAAGCGUGGGGAGCGAACAGG